CUUCCUUCCUCUCUUCCUUUACCUCUGUUGGCCUUCUGUCUUAUCUCUCGCCUUUAAAGCUCUAGAGCUGGAUAUGUAGUUUGUUUGAUAAGAGCACUUGUCUAGCACUCACAAAGCCUUGGGUUCCACCCCUACUGAUGCAUGAAUUGGGUGUGGUUAUACACAUCCACAAUCUCCCAGAAUUUAGAAGUUUGACACAAGAGGAUCAAAGUUCAAGGCCAUCCUUGGCUACUUAGCAACUUCAAGGCCAGCCUUGGCUCAAUGAGAUCCUAACUCAAAACAAAACAAUAGAAAAACAAAAACCAGAGCCCUCAGCCUAUCAUAAAUAUAGAUUUCUAAAAUAGCAAAGUAAGAGCCAAGCAGUCUCCUGGAAAGCAUCAUGUUUAACAGAAGUAAUAAAAGUCUCCAAAAUUGUUCCAAAAUUCUAUCAUUUGACCCAUGAAAGGAUGGUAGGAAAUCGGGUCACUGAGAACAUCCAAGGGGCCCUGGAGCUGGACAGAAAUGGUAGCUGCAUGAAGGGUAGGUAGUUUAAUAUACAGUCGGGAGCAUAGAGCCUGACUGGUCUUGUUUAAUUAAAUGAAGAGAUGAGGAGGAAAAUUAAAUAUAACUACCAUUUUUUUUCCAUCUGAGGAACAGGAAGAGUAGCGCUGCCAUUUGGAGGAAUAGAUGUUAUCCAGGGGACACAGGUUUUAUAAUGGAAGCAGGAACUUGGUUUCUUAAGUUGAGUUUGAGUCAUACACAAGACAGGCAAGGAGAAAACUCUGGUAAGCAGACCACUGGAGAUCUUAAAGUCUGGAGCUCAUGAGAAAGGGGAAACUAGUAGAUGCAUUUGGGAAUUGCCAUCUUAAAAAUGUUAUCUCUAGCCAUUAGACUGGAAAAGCUCACCUCCAAGCAUGGGGCAGGGGGCAAAACCAUGCCCUGUGGCUCCCUCAGAAAACAGAAAGUCAGUGAUGGAGUUGGAGAAUCUAGCUUGUGAAGCGGAGAGCUUCAUGUGUCACAGAGGCACAUGAAGAAAAUACAAUUUUGAUCUAGAAAAUCCAUAAAGGUGGAUGGGAACUUGGGGACUUGUUGGUGAAUGAUUUUCGUACUGGAGGGAGUUAUAGCCAAAGCCGUGCUUCAUUACUAACGACUUUCCUUACUUCAGGAGACAUCUGAUGUGCUACACAGGUAGAAAGCCUGGCAGUUUGAGGCUAGAAUGGACUGCAGAACAAGACUUAAGAAAAGAAAGAAAUCACCUGUGACCCCUAUGUCCUGCAGCUGCUUCCCCCAAGGAUGCGAUGUAGGAGAAGCACGUAAGGACAUGUCAGGCUGCCUUCAUGGUGUUUUAGCCCUUCAGGAGACCAAUCAGAUUAUAGAAAUUACCAACCUUGGAAAGCCUUUGUCAGACAACCUUAGCUCUCACCUCUCGUAAAAGAAGCUUCUUUUGUGGCAGAGACCCUUGAGGAAAGCCACAACUGGUCAAAAUGUGGGAUACUGUGAUGGUUUGUAUAUGCUUGGCUCAGGGAGUGG
rnacentral:sRNA from 1 species